rnacentral:rRNA from 1 species
CCUAGGGGUGGCAGCAGUGGGGAAUAUUGGACAAUGGGCGAAAGCCUGAUCCAGCCAUGCCGCGUGUGUGAAGAAGGCCUUCGGGUUGUAAAGCACUUUCAGUGGGGAAGAAAGCCUUGGGGCUAAUACCCUCGAGGAAGGACAUCACCCACAGAAGAAGCACCGGCUAACUCCGUGCCAGCAGCCGCGGUAAUACGGAGGGUGCGAGCGUUAAUCGGAAUUACUGGGCGUAAAGCGCGCGUAGGCGGUCUGAUAAGCCGGUUGUGAAAGCCCCGGGCUCAACCUGGGAACGGCAUCCGGAACUGUCAGGCUAGAGUGCAGGAGAGGAAGGUAGAAUUCCCGGUGUAGCGGUGAAAUGCGUAGAGAUCGGGAGGAAUACCAGUGGCGAAGGCGGCCUUCUGGACUGACACUGACGCUGAGGUGCGAAAGCGUGGGUAGCAAACAGGAUUAGAUACCCGGGUAGUC